rnacentral:pre_miRNA from 1 species
AAGGUACCCCCUCUGUCCAACAAAAGAUGUCUCAAGUUUGUCAAAAUUUGGAUGUAUGUAGACAUGACUUAGUGUAUAGAUGCAUUCAAAUUUAGUCAAAAUUGAGACAUCUUUUGUUGGAUGGAGGGAGUACAUA